rnacentral:rRNA from 1 species
GACGAACGCUGGCGGCGUGCUUAACACAUGCAAGUCGAACGGGUCUGCCCUGUUUUUUGCGGGGUGGGUCAGUGGCGAACGGGUGAGUAACACGUGAGUAACCUGCCCCUCACUUCUGGAUAGCCGCUUGAAAGGGUGGCUAAUACGGGGUGUUCUGGCUGUGCCGCAUGGUGUGGCUGGGAAAGAUUCACUUUUGUGGUGUUUUGGUGGGGGAUGGGCUCGCGGCCUAUCAGCUUGUUGGUGGGGUGAUGGCCUGCCAAGGCUUUGACGGGUAGCCGGCCUGAGAGGGUGGGCGGUCACACUGGGACUGAGAUACGGCCCAGACUCCUGCGGGAGGCAGCAGUGGGGGGUAUUGCACAAUGGGCGGAAGCCUGAUGCAGCGACGUCGCGUGAGGGAUGGAGGCCUUCGGGUUGUGAACCUCUUUCGCCGGUGAAGAAGGUCCUGCUCUUUGUGGUGGGGUUGACGGUAGCCGGGUUAUGAAGCGCCGGCUAACUACGU